AUUUAAGUAGUUUAUUAAAAUAUGGACUUGUGGCGUCCAAGAUGCUUGAUUGGCCUUAAAUA
rnacentral:tRNA from 1 species